UCCCGCCUUAGCUCAAUUUGGCAGAGCGUUGGACUGUAGAUCCAAAUGUUGCUGGUUCAAGUCCGGCAGGCGGGAU
rnacentral:tRNA from 3 species